rnacentral:rRNA from 1 species
CGUUCCCGGGCCUUGUACACACCGCCCGUCACGUCACGAAAGUGGGAUACGCCUGAAGCCGGUCGCCUAACCCUUCGGGGAGGGCGCCGUCGAAGGCGGAGCCCGCGAUUGGGACG